rnacentral:lncRNA from 1 species
AAAUGACACUUGCUAAUUUGAAUUUCAGAACACACCUAAACCACAUUCUGAUCUCCAGAUUGUUGAUGUAUUCUUCGAAGUGAGAUAACCUGCACUGGUCACAGAGCUCCACGUGAGGAUUUACCAACUCUGAGCAGAUUGGAAGAAAUAUUUUGUGGAGGUGGCUGGUGUGGUACAGCUGUUGGUGGCUACAAGCAGUGCAAGUUUUGCUCCUCAUCUGAAGCUAAAGGAGAGGAUAAGCAAUAAACAUUUAUUAGCUUCUUGUGAGUAAAUAUUU